AUAAAAAUAAAAACCCCAACUACCCAUAUCUGGGCGUGGAACGAUCGAACAGAGAGGAGAAAGAAAGGGGUGAAACCCUAAUUCAUGAGCAGACCUUCAAAUUGAAAGGGGAAUUGAAGCCUAGUUAAUGCAUGAACUAAGAAUGAUGAUCCUCUAAGCAUACCCAACAUCAAAAUUGAUUCAUGUACCGCACGAGCAUGGAAAGCAAGUGGUAAAGAAAAGAGGAAGCAAGGCAACGGAACCAUGUACGAAACGGACACUCGAGGUAUACAAAUAAUGGAAGUUGUAGGUUUGACACUAAAAUCCAAUGAUGGUGUUCGAAUGGAUGGAUGAAUGGAUUAACAUAAGCGAAAGCAUGAGAUGUUGACGCCUAACUAUGUAUGUUUAAAACUUAUGUAUGAUGUCACUGGUUGCUAACGAUGUGAUUGUAUGUGGUGUCUACAUAGUUUAGCAAAUGUAGGUCCGAAGUAUUAAUAUAAUGGAAUGUGGUAAAUCCUUUUUAAUGAAUGUAUGACAUUUGAUAUUCGAACUUUCCUGUAAGUACUAUGUCUAUUAAAGAACGAAAUUUUGGGUUCA